UACGUAGGGUGCAAGCGUUGUCCGGAAUCAUUGGGCGUAAAGCGCGCGUAGGUGGCUUUGUAAGUCCGUUGUGAAAGUCAGAGGCUCAACCUUUGAAUGCCGAUGGAUACUGCAGAGCUAGAGUACGGAAGAGGCGAGUGGAAUUCCUGGUGUAGCGGUGGAAUGCGCAGAUAUCAGGAGGAACACCAAUAGCGAAGGCAGCUCGCUGGGACGUUACUGACACUAAGGCGCGAAAGCGUGGGGAGCGAACAGG
rnacentral:rRNA from 1 species